UUUCGGUGGACACAACGUCUUUAUUUUAUUUGUAUGUGGUGCUGAGAUUCGAACCCAGCGCCCCGCGCAUGCCAGGCCAGCGCGCUACCGCUGGAGCCACAUCCCCAGUCCCUGCAGUACUUUAUUUUAUUUUUAAAAAUUUUUUAUUUUUUUGUAUCAGGGAUUGAACUCAGCGGCAUCGACCACCGAGCUCCAUCCCAGCCCUAUUCUGUAUUUUAUUUAUUUAGAGACAGAGGCUCACUGAGUUGCUUAGCGCCUCCUGUUGCUAGUCUGGCUUUGAACUUGAAAUCCUCCUGCCUCGGCCUCCCGAGCCGCUGGAAUCACUGGCGGGUGCCACCGCUCCCAGCUGAUGCAGUAAUUUAAAAAAUCGAAUAUGCAAACUAUUGCCUGGGAAUCUUUAUCAUUACUGUUACGAUUACGGUAAAAUAUACAUAAGAACAUUCCUGAUUUCAACCGUUUCUAAGUGCAAAGUGGCAUACCAAAAAUACGGUCACAAUGUUGUGUGACCAUUGUCACCAGCUCUACCCACUUGUGCCUGCUAGGCAAGUGCCCUCCCUCUGAGCCACACCUGUGCAGGUAGGUGCGUUCCCAUCAUGCCUUGCAGACUCAUCGCUCAUGCCCUGUCCUCAGUCCCUGGACCCUGAACGGCCUUUCCAUCCGCUUGGAGUCUCCUAUUCCACCGGUGGAGAGGAGGCACAGUGCUGUCUUCUGUGACUCUGGUGGGUCAUCCGCAGGACACCUGGAAGCUCAUCCAUGUGGCCCGUCGGCCAGGACAUCCUUCUGCUCCAGGGUGAAGGACAGGGUUCCAUCCUUUGGAAGGACCACCUCGUCCCUCCGUGGCACUGGCUGGCUUUGGACUACUGUGGAUGCCUGCGGCUGGGCCUCGGCACCGGCCAGGAGCGCUGGACACUGGCCCAGCUAUUUUCGCUUCCGCACGUGAGAACAUGCAGUAUUUCUUGGCCUUCCUAGCGCACCUCCGUGAACUGCUCCAGUCCACCCGUUUUGCGGGAGUGGCUCUUUAAGGAAGGCCUCCGGCGGUCUUUCCAGCGAAACCCCCGAGGGAGCCGGCGGGAGACUCCCAGCGCGGCCCUCGGGUUCCCGGCG
rnacentral:lncRNA from 1 species